rnacentral:snoRNA from 1 species
AGUUCGUGGUGAGGACACCUUCUCAACAAAUCUUUAAAUCUCUCAUAUGUAUCAUAAAAUGUCUCAAUAUCAAACUGAAAAAAAAGAAGAGAUGUUGUUCCUCAACUU